AUCAAUAUCAAUGUCAGUGGCAUAUGGCAUAUUUGAUACCACUCCUUAUGACUCUCCUAUUAGAACAUUGGAUUUGUCCUUGUUAUAAGAACUCUUUUAGUCAUACCUUAUUUUUUGAUAAGAAUUGAAGAUUUCUUCUAUUAUAUGUGAUACAUAAUUUGGUGGUCUAAUUUCUAUAAUACUAAGUUUAAAAGAGUAUAGUUUGGUAUUUAAAUCAUAGUGGCAUUCAUCUUCAAUAAAAUGUAAUUAUAAUUCUAAUUGACUAGAAGGCUCCUAAUGAACUAAAGGAGGUACUUGAGAGUAUAUUGGAUGUAUAUUUAUAUUUGGUUUAAAUUAUAUGCUUUAUAUUUAGUUUGUAGUAAUCAAUGUGUUGUGUAUAAUAAUCUUUUUUUAUACAAUAGUUGCUACAUAAUAUGGCAAUGGGUGCCAAAAUCCAUUGAAUGUAUGUAAUUUAAUUUAAUUAGUGGUU
rnacentral:lncRNA from 1 species